rnacentral:rRNA from 1 species
AGAGUUUGAUCAUGGCUCAGAACGAACGUUGGCGGCGUGGAUUAGGCAUGCAAGUCGUACGGGAUCCGGGGCAACUCGGGUCUAGUGGCGAACGGGUGAGUAUCGCGUGGGAAACCUGCCCUCGAGAUGGGGAUAACACUCCCAACGGAGUGCUAAUACCGAAUAAGACCACGGAGUCGCAUGGCUCUGCGGUCAAAGGUGGCCUCUACUUGUAAGCUACCACUUGAGGAUGGUCCCGCGUCCCAUUAGCUAGUUGGUAGGGUAAAAGCCUACCAAGGCUACGAUGGGUAGCUGGUCUGAGAGGAUGGUCAGCCACACUGGGACUGAGAUACGGCCCAGACUCCUACGGGAGGCAGCAGUCGAGAGGCUUCGUCAAUGGGGGAAACCCUGAACGAGCGACGCCGCGUGGGCGAUGAAGGCCGUUAGGUUGUAAAGCCCUGUCGAGCGGGAACAAUUGCAGGCGGGUGAACAAUCCGUCUGUUUGAGAGUACCGUUAAAGGAAGCUCCGGCCAACUCCGUGCCAGCAGCCGCGGUAAUACGGGGGGAGCGAACGUUGUUCGGAAUUACUGGGCGUAAAGGGCGUGCAGGCGGCCCUGUAAGAGAGUUGUGAAAUGCCCUGGCUCAACCAGGGAAAUGCACCUCUGACUGCAGGGCUUGAGUAUAGGAGAGGAUGGGGGAAUUCCCGGUGUAGCGGUGAAAUGCAUUGAUAUCGGGAGGAACACCAGUGGCGAAGGCGCCCAUCUGGCCUAAUACUGACGCUCAGGCGCGAAAGCUAGGGGAGCAAACAGGAUUAGAUACCCUGGUAGUCC